CAUUUAGUGGGGGACAACAUUCCGAAAGGAAUGCUAAUACCGCAUACGUCCUACGGGAGAAAGCAGGGGAUCUUCGGACCUUGCGCUAAAUGAUGAGCCUAAGUCGGAUUAGCUAGUUGGUGGGGUAAAGGCCUACCAAGGCGACGAUCUGUAGCGGGUCUGAGAGGAUGAUCCGCCACACUGGGACUGAGACACGGCCCAGACUCCUACGGGAGGCAGCAGUGGGGAAUAUUGGACAAUGGGCGGAAGCCUGAUCCAGCCAUGCCGCGUGUGUGAAGAAGGCCUUUUGGUUGUAAAGCACUUUAAGCGAGGAGGAGGCUCUCCUAGUUAAUACCUAGGAUGAGUGGACGUUACUCGCAGAAUAAGCACCGGCUAACUCUGUGCCAGCAGCCGCGGUAAU
rnacentral:rRNA from 1 species